rfam:Triticum urartu cultivar G1812 contig505717, whole genome shotgun sequence.
GUAGUAUUCCCUCCGUCCCAAAAUUCUUGUCUUACAUUUGUUUAGAGGCGGAUGUAUCUAACACUAAAAUGUAACUAGAUACAUCCGUAUUUAGACAAAUUUAAGACAAGAAUUUUGGGAUGGAGGGAGUACAAA